rnacentral:rRNA from 1 species
UACCAGCACCCCCGAGUGGUCGGGACGUUUAUUGGGCCUAAAGCAUCCGUAGCCGGUUCUACAAGUCUUCCGUUAAAUCCAGCUGCUUAACAGAUGGGCUGCGGAAGAUACUAUGGAGCUAGGAGGCGGGAGAGGCAAGCGGUACUCGAUGGGUAGGGGUAAAAUCCGUUGAUCCAUUGAAGACCACCAGUGGCGAAGGCGGCUUGCCAGAACGCGCUCGACGGUGAGGGAUGAAAGCUGGGGGAGCAAACCGG